ensembl:lncRNA
UGAUAUAUGACCUAUAACCCUGGUCCUGAGGGGUCUAGUGGACAUUCCAUCCAGGGACCACCGGUAAGAUAUGAUAUAUGACCUAUAACCCUGGUCCUCAAGGGUCUAGUGGACAUUCCAUCCAGGGACCACCGGUAAGAUAUGAUAUAUGACCUAUAACCCUGGUCCUGAGGGGCCUAGUGGACAUUCCAUCCAGGGACCACCGGGUGGUGAUGGUGAAAAGGGAGAAAAGGGAGAUGUUGGUUUACCAGGACCUCAGGGUGUUGGUGGAUCUCCUGGCGGAUCAGGAAGAGAUGGACCAGUUGGACAGAGGG